GGAGCUCAGGCACAUAACUCUCGGAAUCAGUAGCAACGUAGACCGACUGGGCAUCCAGCGACCUCACCCAGAGCUUCACAGCCCUCUGGAUCUCCUUCAGGUCAGGCAGGCACAUAGUCAUCGUGAGGGGGGCCGCUGUGCUGCGGCUGUAGCCCACACACUGCGGAGAGGCCAUGAAGUGCGAGCCUGCAGUCCCGUCCUUCAGCAUGGCACAGGCGUUCUUCUACGGAGAGCGGGGAACAGGGUUAAAUACUGGCAACUGCCCUGGAACCCCAGAAGCAAGACCUGGUAAAUCAAGGUGACCAUCUAUAUUGAUUCUGUUAUUUUCACACAGAGGUGAAAACCUCAUUGGAAUACAAGGAUUCUGCACAUUUAAACAGCCUCCAAAUUCUGUUAGGAUGACAUCUUCAUUUCUUGGGAGCCAUGCCUCAUCUCCACAGUCAGUUUUUCAACACGGAGUCUACCAGCCAGACACUGAGCUAGGACAGGGGACUCCUGGACUGUGGCCUCUUUAUGGCUUGCUGCCUGACCUGGGGUCUGGCUUGAUCUCUCAGUUUAUCCAUCUGUAAAAUGAGGAUAAAAACAGCUGCUGCUAAAGUGAGACCUGGCUGGCAGGCACUCUGGAGUUACAUUUUGAUAUGUGCUGCAGUGGGAUGAUGGGACACAAUCCCACGAACCAGAACAAGUGAGAGAUCUCUGCUCUGGCUGGGACGCGGGGCCGAUCCCUACAGGCCAGGGCCAUGCUCAGGGACACAUCCAAGUUAGCCAGUGAGAGAGGAAGGGGGAAGUUACCCAGUCAGAGCCAAUGCGCAGAUGAAUGCCCACAUAGGGCCGGACAAGGUGGGCAUGAAUCUGGGCCUCUCCCGUCUUCACCAUUUCGUCUGACCAUACCAUGUACUUCUGUAGUGGCCUGUGUUCCUCUAGGACGGGGAACUGGGCUGGGGCUCCUGGCAGGGCAAGCACCGGAUGUUCCUUUGGAGAAAAUCUAGACAGGAGAUGGAAUGAGGGAAGUCAGAGGACGCACAGAGAGCCUGGCUGCCACCCCCACGGGAAAAAGGAUGGUGUUGCACCAUGCCCCAGAGACCCUGCGGAGGGGCCCCUGCAACACGCAAGAAACACGAGAGGUUGUGAAAUACCAACGGGCUGAUAAGGAACCUUGGUGGCGGCGGCAACAGGCACAAUAUGCAAUACUGUCCCGCCACAUGGAAUUUACAACCCUCUUUGCUUGUCGAACAAUUAAAACUUUACAGGAGAGCAUUCCAACCUUUUAUAUGUCACACUGGCUUCCAAUCUGCGGUGCAGUAAUUCAUUCCAGGGUGGGGUGUCUGGACCAAGCCUUUGCCCUUUUACCUACAUGGCAGGACUGGGACAUGCAGCUGCUUACAGAAGCAACGGCCAGGUCACACUCACAGGGACUAUGUAUACUGGAUUUGAAUCAUUCAUUCAACAUUUAAAAAACAUUUAUUGAUUGCCUACUAUGUAUUGGGACCUGGAGGAAAACAAGACAGGCAUAGUCCCUGCGCUAUGGAAGGGAGCAGGGGUCUGCAGGUGCCCCUAUCAUGCCCUCCCAAGCCCCUGCUUCCCCCUCAUACACAGUCCAUCUCAUAAUUAUUUCACCUCUGUCCUUGCUGUGGGAAGGCAGUGCUCCAGUAUGCGCAGAAUAGUGUCUGGCACACCCAAGAGCUUGGUAAAUAUUUUUCUUUUCUUUUUCUUUUUUGAGAUAGGAUCUUGCUGUCACCCAGGUGUCACCCAGGCUGGAGGGCAGUGGCGUGAUCUCGGCUCACUGCAAUCUCCGCCUCCAGGCUCAAGGCAAGACCUUCCCAUCUCAGCCUCCUGAGUAGCUGGGACUACAGAUAAGUGCCACCAGGCCCAGCUAAUUUUUUACAUUUUUUUUGUAGAGACGGGGUUUCGCCAUGUUGCCCAGGCUGGUCUCGAACUCCUGGACUCAAGUGAUCUGCCUACUUAGGCCUCCCAGUGUUGGGAUUACAGGUGUGGGCCACCGCGCCCGGUCAAUACUUCUUGACUGAACAAAUGAGGAGCAAACCUGUGUUCCCUCUUCAGCUAAACCCAGACUACCUCUCAGCAGCACGAAACCCCUUGCUGUUCCAUGUUCACAAUGCACUUUCAAGUUCUAGAUCUCUGUAUACUUCUUCCCUCCAGCUGGAGGGGGGAAGUGCCUUCUGCCAGCCAAAAUCCUUUCCUUAAAAGUAUGAAAUGGGAACAGCCAUUCUGGAAAACAGUUUGGCAGUUAGGCAUGCAGUUACAUGACCCAGCAAUUGUACUCUUAGGCAUUUAUUCAAGAAAAAUGAAAACUUAUGUUCACACAAGCCUAUACACCAAUGUCCCUUGCAGCUUUAUUCAUAAAAUAGCCCCCAACUGGAAACAACCCAGACGUCACUCACAAGUAAACAGUUAAACAAACUGCUGUACCUCUGUAUCAUGGAAUAUGAACCCCACCAAAAAAAGGAACACAGUAUCAAUACAGGCAACAAUUUGGAUGAUGUCAAGGGAAUUAUCCUUGGGUCAGGGAGGGUGGGCAAUCUCAAAGGUUAUGUAUUGUAUGGUUCCAUUUAUAUAAACAUUUUAAAACAAUAGCAUGGAGAAGAGAUUAGUAGUUGGCAGAGGUUAGGAAUGGGGUGUAUAUGUUUAGGGAGGUGGGUGUGGUUAUAAACUGGCAACACAAGGAUCCUUGUGAUAAUGGAACUGUUCAGUGUAUUAACUAUAGUAGUGGAUACAUAAACCCACACACGAUAAAACUGCACAGAAAUACACACACACACACACACACACACACAGGCAUGCACUCACACACUCAGAAGUAAGUACAAGAAAACUGAGUAAGAUGGGUAAAUUGUAUCAAUGUCAAUAUCCUGGUUGUGAUACUGUACUAUAGUUUUGCAAAAUGUUACCAUUGGGGGAAAUUGGGUAAAGGGUACAUGGGAGGUUGCUGUCUUAUUUCUUACAACUGCAUGUAAAUGUACAAUGACCUCAAUGAAAAUUUCAAAUAAAAACUAUGAAAUAUUUCAAACCAUCCAGGCAAAUACAGAAAAUAAUUUAAUAAUUUAUAUACCCAUGACCCAAAUCAGCAGAAACUAACUUUGCUUUGUUUCAGGUUUAAAAACAAAACAAAACAAACAAAACAAAAAACACACACCUAAAUACAAGCUCAUCCUGCCAUCAUCCUUCCCAGAGGGUAAUGUGUUUUAAUGUAUGAUUGCACUUUUACUAUAGACAUCAAAAAGGAGGGGAGUGUUCUUCUGCGUGCUUUCUAUGGAGUGGAAUGAUGAAGAUUGUAGGUUAAGCCAGAAUGCUUUGUUCCAAUGUUGACUAUGCCACUAGCUAACUUGGGCAGGUGACUUUACCACUCUGUGCCUUAGCUCCUCAUCCACAUAAUAGAGAUAACAGUUCCCACAUCAUAAAGCUGUUUUUUUGUUGUUGUUUUUGUUUUUUUUCAAUUGUGGUUGGGUGUGGUGGCCACUUCUGUAAUCCCAGCACUUUGGGAGGCUGAGGUGGGCAGAUCACUUGAGCCCAGGAGUUCAAGACCAGCCUGGGGCAACAUGGCAACACCCCAUCUAUCCAAAAAUAUCAAAAAAUUAGCCAAGUGUUGUGGUGUGUGCCUGUGGUCUCAGCUACCUAGGAGGCUACAUGGGAAAAUCGCUUGAGCCUGGAAGGUUGAGGCUGCAGUCAGCCAUGAUCGUGCCACUGCACUCCAGCCAGGGUGGGAGGGUGAGACCUUGUCUCAAAAAAAAUUUAAAAAAGUUGACCGGGCGCGGUGGCUCACGCCUGUAAUCCUAGAACUUUGGGAAGCCAAGGUAGGUGGAUCACGAGGUCGGGAGAUCGAGACCAUCCUGGCUAACACGGCGAAACCCCGUCUCUACUAAAAAUACAAAAAAUUAGCCACACGUCGUGGUGGGCACCUGUAAUCCCAGCUACUUGGGAGGCUGAGGCAGGAGAAUGGCGAACCUGUGAGACAGAGCUUGCAGUGAGCUGAGAUCGUGCCACUGCACUCCAGCCUGGGCAACAGAGCAAGACUCCGUCUCAAAAAAUAAUAAUAAAAAUAAAAAAUAAAAAAAGGUUGUAUAUAUUUACGAUAUACAAUAUGAUAUUUUGAUCUACAUGUAUGUAGUUAAAUGAAUAGUACAGCCAAGCUAAUUAAUAUAUCCAUUUAUAGGGCUACUGAGAGGAUUAAUGUAUUAUCAAAGCAAAGCAUUUAGAACAGUACCUUGGCACACAGAAAGCUCUCAAAGAAUUCUAGCUCUUAUCAUCAUCACAUUGCAUGUAACCUAGUUAAAGGUUACAUAUAAAUCUAAUCAACUUUCUAAAAAUUCAACUUUAUGUUUCAGAGACUUGGCCAUGUUGAUCAUGUGGAUCAUGUGGUUGUAUUAGCUUCUCUAAAAGUUUUCCAUUUUGUACAAAUAAACUGCAAUUUACCUACCUAUUUCCCUCUUGCUAGACAGUGAGGUCGUUCCAAUCUUUCCCUCACACAACAGUGCUGUGACAGACAUGCCACUCAUUCUCCACACCCAACAGAGACUGCUUGCUCAGCAAACACCUUCCACACCUCCAAGGUCAGUCGCAAUUCCCAAGCCUCACCUCCUUAGGGAGUGUUCCCUGUCCCACUUCUCUUGCUGCCUUCUGCACAAUGAUAUGCCCUGCAGCCACUUUCCCUGCCCAUGGAACUGUCAGCUGGUGAGGCUGGGGACCCAAGCAGCCUGUUUGCCAUUGCUCCCACAUACGCUAUCCAAGGCCUGUGUCACUUACACAGGCCUCGGACCAGUGACAAGAAAGUGUUCCUUGAUGGUCCAGCUGUGCGACACUUAUCUUGCUAGACUCUAGUUUUCUUUCCUUUUUUUUUUGAGAUGGAGUCUUGCUCUGUCAC